rnacentral:tRNA from 1 species
AUUUAAUUAGUAUAAUAAUUAGUACAUUUAAUUUCCAAUUAAAUA